UAGACAGGGAACAGCCUUGAAAUGUGGCAAGACGACUGGCUUCAAGCAGGAGCCUAAAGAAGUGUCUUCCUAUGGUCUAUUGGCCAUGUCAGAACUAAGGAAAUGUAAUGGUCAAUUCAUGAGAAAGAAACAUCU